CAAUAGCGUAUAUUAAAGUUGUUGCGGUUAAAAAGCUCGUAGUUGGAUCUCGGCAGGCAGGGGGUGGUUCGCUCUUAGCGCUACUGCCCCAUUUGCCUGUGUGAUUGGCGGAGGUUUCGGGGUGCUCUUCGUUGAGUGACCCGGGGCGCCGUCAGGUUUACUUUGAAAAAAUUAGAGUGCUCAAAGCAGGCUUUUCACGCUUGAAUAUUCGUGCAUGGAAUAAUGGAAUAGGAACUCGUUUCUAUUUUGUUGGUUUUCGGAAAUCGAGUUAAUGAUUAAUAGGAACAAUUGGGGGCAUUAGUAUUCAGACGACAGAGGUGAAAUUCUUGGACCGUCUGAAGACUAACUACUGCGAAAGCAUUUGCCAAGAGUGUUUUCAUUAA
rnacentral:rRNA from 1 species